GCACCCGGGAUCUGAACCGGUGAACCCAGGGCUGCCGAAGAAGAACAUGCACACUUAACCACUGGGCCACCGGGAUGGCCUCAAGAAGUCCUUUAAAUACCCUGAAUGAUCUGAAGACCCGAGGGAAAUGGAAGAAUAUAUUGGAUGCACAUGACAGCCCGGGCAUGGCGAUGACCGGUGUUGUCUCCCCCAAGGACGUUGACACUGCUCUGUCCAGCUGCAAAGAACCUGGCAGCUUCAACCCCAAAGCUGUCUUCUCCCAGGUGGGCUUAUCCAGAAAGAACCCUGACCCAUCAGGAAAGCAUUUACGAGCCUAGACCGGACAAGAGCGGCCUCAUUGAAGAUGAGGAG